GACAGAGGCUACGAACGUUGUUCGGAAUCACUGGGCAUAAAGCGCACGUAGGCGGCUAGGUCCGUCCGAUGUGAAAGCCCCCGGCUCAACCGGGGAAUUGCAUCGGAUACAGCCUGGCUUGAGGACGGUUGGGGUGAGUGGAACUCCUGGUGGAGCGGUGAAAUGCGUAGAUAUCAGGAGGAACACCGGUGGCGAAAGCGGCUCACUGGACCGUUGCUGACGCUGAGGUGCGAAAGCUAGGGGAGCAAACGGG
rnacentral:rRNA from 1 species